UUUACAGCAAAACCAACUUCGGGAGGGCUAGAGUAUAAGGAGAAAUGUAAAAGGUCCCCGAUCAAAGAGAAGCUGGGUUCGAGUUGCCGCAACAAAAGGUGCUGGUGGGUGGUAGAAGAUCAGCCAGGGGAUCCGACUUAAAGAAGCCGGAGGUGGGAGCUGUAAACACAAAGGAGCUGAUGCAGCAUGAGAAGGCGGAUCUCUUUGUUUCUCAAGAACAUCAAAUACAACAGCCUAUAAAGGAAUCUACUGACAAUCAAUCAAAGGUUGGUUGGCAGCCCUCACCCCUUGGAGUUUGCAAACUGAAUUUUAAUGGAGCGGUAACUCCAAGGGUGCAACGGCAGUUUUUAUUCUUAGGGAUCACAAUGGUAAAGUUAUUCAGACUGCAGGUAAGACUUUAGCGCACUGCCCUGUGCCCAUUGUAGAAUUAAUAGGGGCUUGGAUGGGUAUUCAAGUGGCUAUUAUCAAACUUAAUCUUCAUAAUCUCUAGAUUAAUUGAAGGGGAUUCGCAAGUCGUAAUUCAAUGGAUCUCUCGGACCCAUCCUUUUGAGCCUGACUUAUUACCUUUACUUCGUGAUAUUCUCUAUUGGAAACAACAUUUUAACUUAUGGACCAUUACAAAUGUAUAUAGAGAGGCUAAUCAGAUUGCUAAUUGGCUUGCUAGUUGUGCUUUGAAUCACUCUUUCCAAUUUAACAAAGAUGAUGAAUUGCCUA